GAUGAACGCUGGCGGCGUGCCUAAUACAUGCAAGUCGAGCGAACAGACGAGGAGCUUGCUCCUUUGACGUUAGCGGCGGACGGGUGAGUAACACGUGGGUAACCUACCUAUAAGACUGGGAUAACUUCGGGAAACCGGAGCUAAUACCGGAUAAUAUUUCGAACCGCAUGGUUCGAUAGUGAAAGAUGGCUUUGCUAUCACUUAUAGAUGGACCUGCGCCGUAUUAGCUAGUUGGUAAGGUAACGGCUUACCAAGGCAACGAUACGUAGCCGACCUGAGAGGGGGAUCGGCCACACUGGAACGGAGACACGGUCCAGACUCCUACGGGAGGCAGCAGGAGGGAAUCUUCCGCAAUGGGCGAAAGCCUGACGGAGCAACGCCGCGUGAGUGAUGAAGGUCUUCGGAUCGUAAAACUCUGUUAUUAGGGAAGAACAAACGUGUAAGUAACUGUGCACGUCUUGACGGUACCUAAUCAGAAAGCCACGGCUAACUACGUG
rnacentral:rRNA from 1 species